ACGUAGGACGCAAGCGUUAUCCGGAAUUACUGGGCGUAAAGGGCGUGCAGGCGGUUUCCUAAGUCAGGCGUGAAAGCCACGGGCUAAACCUGGGGAGGACGUUUGAUACUGGGGGACUAGAGUGUGGUAGAGGGGUGUAGAAUUCCGGGUGUAGUGGUGAAAUGCGUAGAUAUCCGGAGGAAUACCAGUGGCGAAGGCGGCACCCUGGACGACACCAGACGCUGAGACGCGACAGCGCGGGGAGCGAACGG
rnacentral:rRNA from 1 species